rnacentral:rRNA from 1 species
GACGUAGGGAGCAAGCGUUGUCCGGAUUUACUGGGCGUAAAGCGCACGUAGGCGGCUUGUUAAGUGAGAAGUGAAAUCUCCAGCGCUCAACGCGGAAACUGCUUCUCAUACUGGCAAGCUUGAGGGUUGUAGAGGUGACUAGAAUUCCUGGUGUAGCGGUGACAUGCAUAGAUAUCAGGAGGAAUACCCGAGGCGAAGGCGGGUCACUGGGCAACUCCUGACGCUGAGGUGCGAAAGCGUGGGUAGCAAACAGG